GCCUGACUGGUUCAGUCAGUAGAGCACCUGACUCUUGAUCUCAGGAUUGUGAGUUCAAAUCCCACAUUAGGUG
rnacentral:tRNA from 1 species